AAGUCGUAACAAGGUUUCCGUAGGUGAACCUGCGGAAGGAUCAUUAACACUCCAAAACUUCUCAUAGCUCUGGGAAACCAGAGUUUAUGAAACCCUAUUCACCAUUAGCGAACCCGGCUAGAUGAGAAAAGUUGAAAUGUUUCUUAUCUUAGCUAUUUUCUUUUGUCCAUUCUUUUUUUUUAACCCCAAUCAUCAUAACAUUUCUUUGACUGACUGGAAGAACGUAACAACCUCUUCCGUUGCUCUUUGCUCUAACCAGUAAAGGCAAUGAAAACUACAAAAACAAAAACAAAAAAACAACUCUUAGCAACGGAUAUCUUGGUUCUC
rnacentral:misc_RNA from 1 species